GCAUUAGUGGUGUAAUUGUUAACAUGUGGUCUUCCCAUGGUAUCUAACAGAUUUUCAGUUUAUGGCCGCGUUCGGGGUUCGAUUCCCCGCUGUCGUG